CCUGGCCAGAGUCCGUGUUGUUGCCUAUCGACUGGAACGAUAGAACUUCCUCCGGAUGCGUCUGUACAUCCUGUGUUCCACAUUUCUCAACUCAAACCCUUUGUGGCUAACUAUACUCCAGUUUCAACAGUGCUUCCUCACCGUGUGGAUUUUGCUGCUGCCACUCCAGUCACAAUCGCCUUCCUGCAGCGGCGCAUGGUGAAACAAGCACCAAUUUGGGAGGAUGAGCUUCGUCAAGGGGGAGCAACUGUCAUGCCCGCUCCAUCAGUCACCAUGGAAGCAGCAGACACUGAGAAGACGGUCCCAAAUGAACAGUCUAUGACAGAGGAGGCCCACGAUGCAAUGGAUGUCGACAUCCAGGAGCAGGUGUGGGGCUGUGUUAAAAAGGCUUUGCGUUGGCUGUAAUCGAUAUGCUAUGAAAAGAAAUAGAACAGAAUCUUCCUCCCA